AGUGAACGCUGGCGGUAGGCCUAACACAUGCAAGUCGAACGGCAGCACAGUAAGAGCUUGCUCUUACGGGUGGCGAGUGGCGGACGGGUGAGGAAUACAUCGGAAUCUACUUUUUCGUGGGGGAUAACGUAGGGAAACUUACGCUAAUACCGCAUACGACCUACGGGUGAAAGCAGGGGAUCUUCGGACCUUGCGCGAUUGAAUGAGCCGAUGUCGGAUUAGCUAGUUGGCGGGGUAAAGGCCCACCAAGGCGACGAUCCGUAGCUGGUCUGAGAGGAUGAUCAGCCACACUGGAACUGAGACACGGUCCAGACUCCUACGGGAGGCAGCAGUGGGGAAUAUUGGACAAUGGGCGCAAGCCUGAUCCAGCCAUACCGCGUGGGUGAAGAAGGCCUUCGGGUUGUAAAGCCCUUUUGUUGGGAAAGAAAAGCAGCAGGUGAAUACCCCGCCGUUCUGACGGUACCCAAAGAAUAAGCACCGGCUAACUUCGUG
rnacentral:rRNA from 1 species